UACGUAGGGACCGAGCGUUGUCCGGAUUCAUUGGGCGUAAAGAGCUCGUAGGCGGCUGCUCAAGUCGAAUGUGAAAACUCGAGGCUCAACCUCGAGCCUGCAUUCGAUACUGGGCGGCUAGAGUCUGGUAGGGGGAUCUGGAAUUCCUGGUGUAGCGGUGGAAUGCGCAGAUAUCAGGAGGAACACCGGUGGCGAAGGCGGAUCUCUGGGCCUGUCCUGACGCUGAGGCGCGAAAGCUAGGGGAGCGAACAGG
rnacentral:rRNA from 1 species